CUCUCCCCGACCUCUCAUCUCUCUCCCACGAUGUGUGCACCGCCGCCAGGUCCGUUGCUCAUCUGGUUAAUCCCGACGGGCAUAUUUUCUUUCUGCUCUACCUCAGGAGACCUCCUCCCCUGAGCGCUCCCCUCCCUCAGGAGACCUCCUCCCCGACCUCUCGUUUUCUCUACCGACGGCCAAACUGGUGGUGUACCGCCGCCGUCCCGGCGCUGAAGCCGGCGAGAUCCUGCGUCCCCAUCAUGACCCGGAUUCCCUAUGCCACCAGUACGCCGGACACCUCAAGGUACCCCUACCCCCCACCCCCGCCCGCGGCGUCCGCCGAUCUCCGCACCCUAGGAGCUCCCUCACGCUAUCAGCCUUCGGAGCCUUCAGAUCUGAUUUCACAUUAUGGUCGUCUCUAGCCGAUGGAUGCAAAGCUCCCGACCCCGCAGGUCGCAUCUUGGUGAGGGCAGCUAUUCCCGUAACUUUUUCUGACUAAUCUGGUUAAUUGGGCCAAACAGCCCAUAUAGCAAGGGAGCAUUCCAUGAGCGGUCCAAAAAGCAUCGAACCGAUCGAUCUCGGGCGAUUGGUGUGCUCGCUAACCCUAACCAAGGCGGAUGCUGCGUCCGCUCAAUUCAGGCGAAGUGGGCGACCGCCUCGUGCCACUCGCGAGGGAAUCUAGCUUGAGGGGAUCAAGCGGAAGCGCCAGAUGCGGGUGAACCGAGGGCCGAUCGAUCCAGGUGUCGGGCGGUCAUUAGAACCGAGGACUGAGUCUUCCUGAUGUUCAACCCAUAAGAAUGACCGUGGUGUGUGAUACAGCGUGUUCACGUGCUUGAAAGAAAUAGUUUUCUCAUUCUUUUAGCUGUUCUUUGUUUUGCUACUCCUAACCUAAGUGUGUGUGAUAUUAAGAGAUUAUGUAUAUAUGAGUAAUGGGUUGUUCUCCGGUGGCUGUCGCCCAAUUAAUUAGUUCAUUCACAUGGACUGCCAUACCAUUAUCUUUAUGUUUAGUAUCCAUGUAUUAAGGAUGUACGAUUGCUUAGUUUAUGUUUCUAUAUCAUUGAUGCCAUGGUACUGUUUUUUACUGUAUGCGGCAGUUUCCUUUCAUGAAGGUGUGAAGCGGCCGUGACAAACCCCUCCUACCGUGAUGGCGUUAGGUGAAUGGCUUGAUGAUGCCAAGAAGAUUAAUAUCGAGUGAAACUUUGCCCAUAAUCUAUGCCAAGAAAAAAUGUGCAUGAAACUUAGGUAUUGACUUAAGUUUCCGGUUUUUUGAGUGACCGAGGAUGAAAUUUUUCACCAUGCAAGUGACUAUACAUUGGCUUCUCUAUGUUCUGCGCUCUUCUUCAAUGGAUAAUAUUGCAACUGAUUAGCAGAAUUGGGAGACUUUUAAUACCAUCGGUAUUAAUUCGUGAUUGAUUUUAUUUUAGGUAUGUUUUUUCCACUUCUGAACUCCAUUUCAAUCCUAUACAUUUUCUCUUGAUUCUAUCCGGUUAGGUCAAUGAGGUUUACAAGGUACAAAGCUUCACGGGGACUCAUCUUAUUCUUCUUGGGAUGCAAAAGGGUGAAGUUAGUUGAUAUUUCAUAAUUAAUUAAAAACAGGCCAGGGGGAUUAGAACAUGUGUUCUAUCUAUAGGUACUAUUUGGGAGAUGAUCAGUUAUGGUAAGUUGUAAAAUUUAUAUAUUUGGGUGAUGGUUCUAUCAUGCUUAGUUAAAACUUGCAUGUCAACAAACCAUCUGACGCUGCAACUGACACAUGGGUAUUGCAGAUAAUGCGUCAUGGGUACUUUUCUUCUAAUAUUAUGAUACAGUAAUUCCCUUUUGGUCCAACGAUCUUCUGCGAGGAUUCACUAACUCUGAUUCUUUUUUGUGUUCUGUAGACAAUGCCUGAUCCGUAUUAUGAUACUAGAUCGGUUGUUGUGGCUGUACUGUACCACAUAUUUAGGCACUACUAUAGUCGCUUAAGUGUGCUUUUAAAAGUAAAUUGUAUGGCUACCUAUUAUUAGAGAUUUAGAAAACUAUGGUCUCUUCAGCAGCUUUCUUCCAAAAAAGAAGGCCCUUCAGAAGCUACUGCAUGUAUAUGGUCAGAUUAAUUAUAUACAUAUUUUUGUCCUUUAAUUUCAAAUGCUUAGGAAUCAUCUGCGGAAGUACUGUAGAUUGUAACCCUGUAGGUGCUGAACUAAAUGCCAAUCCAAGCAAGAGUGUAAGGAAGAUAAUAUAUGUUUUGAUCUGCCGAGAGGUCAUGCAA